rnacentral:lncRNA from 1 species
GCGGCUUCUCGCCUAGCGCCAGUCCUAUCUUACCUACCACUGUCCCAUCACACACCCGCCUGCACCGCCUGGCCGGGCGCCUGGAGCGUGACGAAUGCGCGCGCGUCAGCAAACUUCUAGCCAGCCAGCAACUUGUCGGUGCAGGAACUUCGGCGUUCGACCCAUCGCACACCCGCCUGCACCGCUACAGAGUGUCAGAGUCUGCAAAAAGCUUGGCUACGAUUGGUGUACAGUGGGCCCGCAGGGCACAGACGCACUUUGUGAAUGGCUACGUUGCGCACGGGGCUGCCGAUUGGUAGUUUGCUGGACAACUUCGCUAACAUGCUUAUGGGUGAAUGGAAGGCGGAGAGCAUAUGCGCUUAUCCUUGGACUUUCCCUGAAAGCGGAGGGCACCGUAAUACUGCCGGUGGGCCAGGAGUUAAGAUGUGCCGCUAUACGCGGUGGAUCGGCGUCCCGCAGUUGGAUGCUGCAGUUAAGCAAGGCAUAUUACCGCACAUGAAGGAGUAUGUUACGCACAAGCACCUAAUGGCGCUGAUACGG